ensembl:miRNA Gm24563 predicted gene, 24563
GGCGGCCCGGCGCCCUCGGGCCAGGCCGCGGCGGGCAGCGGCGGGCAGCGGCGGCGGCGGAGGCGGCGGAGCGGAAUCCCGGGCGCGCGGCGC